AACGAACGCUGGCGGCGUGGCUAAGACAUGCAAGUCGAACGGACUGUCCAAUUUAUUGAACAGUUAGUGGCGAAAGGGUUAGUAGCGGAUGGGUAACGUACCCUGUGCUUUGGGAUAGCGUCAGUUACUUCGGUAACUUUCCGAAAGGGGCGGUAAUACCAAAUAAUAUCAUUUGUCGAUAGGCAGAUGAUCAAAGAUUUAUCGGCACGGGAGCGGCCUGUCUCCUAUCAGCUUGUUGGUGAGGUAAUGGCUCACCAAGGCAUCGACGGGUAGCGGGACUGAGAGGUUGACCCGCAACAUCGGGGCUGAGACACUGCCCGGACCUCCACGGAGGGCUGCAGUAACGGAUAUUGUGCAAUGGGCGAAAGCCUGACACAGCGACGCCGCGUGUAGGAGGAAGUCUUUCGGGAUGUAAACUACUGUCAGGGGGAAGAAAGUGCGCUUCGGCGUA
rnacentral:rRNA from 1 species